AUUGAACGCUGGCGGCAGGCUUAACGCAUGCAAGUCGAGCGGGAAUAGGUAGCUUGCUACUGAAUUCUAGCGGCGGACGGGUGAGUAAGGCUAGGAAUCUGCCAUUUAGUGGGGGACAACAUUCCGAAAGGGAUGCUAAUACCGCAUACGUCCUACGGGAGAAAGCAGGGGAUCACUUGUGACCUUGCGCUAAAUGAUGAGCCUAAGUCGGAUUAGCUAGUUGGUGGGGUAAAGGCCUACCAAGGCGACGAUCUGUAGCGGGUCUGAGAGGAUGAUCCGCCACACUGGGACUGGGACACGGCCCAGACUCCUACGGGAGGUAGCAGUGGGGAAUAUUGGACAAUGGGGGGAACCCUGAUCCAGCCAUGCCGCGUGUGUGAAGAAGGCCUUUUGGUUGUAAAGCACUUUAAGCGAGGAGGAGGCGCUCUAGGCUAAUACCCUAGAAGCGUGGACGUUACUCGCAGAAUAAGCACCGGCUAACUUCGUGCCAGCAGCCGCAGUAAUAC
rnacentral:rRNA from 1 species